GGCAUAAUUUUAAUUGAUGUUUUUUUGUAAGGACCUACGAGAAGGAGGGGGAGUGUUAGUAGAAAGAAGAAUUUUCCUCAUCCCAUCAUUGCCUAUGGGGGUGUGACUUAUGCCCACCUGAAGCCCAUAAUUAACAGUGGUAGCAUUUCUAUCCCGGGGUUUGGACUCUACCUCCUCAUACAGAUUUUACCGCCCCGAUACGUAUCCGCACUUGGUACAGCAGAGGCCCAUUCUGCUUCCCAGGCCUCGCCUUUCUUCGGUAGCCAAGUCCCAUGUUAGUGGUCCAUCACAGCCUGGUUUCUCAUGCCAGUGGACUCGCAUGACCUCAUUCCACAUCUCGGCUGUUUUUCUUGGAUGUAGAAGUCUGUGGGAAUUCUGUUAAGCCAGCCUAGCUGAGGGAGUCACCGUCACCAUCUGAUGCAUGUCCUCUGACAGUCUCCUGUACGGUGCAGUUACCAAUAUAUCCAAAUAUGAACACGGAUCUGACAGUCAUUCGACAAGUUCAACUCGGCUAAUACCAGUAAGGUGUCAUCUAUUAAAAUGGUCACAGUAUCCAAAACACUGAAGUCACAGAACUCAAAUUCCAUACAUGUACACAGAUUAGUGUUCCCAUACACAAGCGGAAGAUUAUCGAGGAAAAAAGCUCUCUGCGAAAGCGCUGUUCUGCGCUUCGAACCAGUGGAAGUCUUGGAAUACUGGCAGCUUCAUGUAUAAUUGUGACUGUGACAAAAAUUUCCAGUUUAUCUACAAGAUCAUCUGUAGUGGAAUCACCGCAUCAUAAUGAAUCCUUUAUUGACAUCAAAGCGAAUGACACUCUGUGUGAAUUCAUGCAAUCUUUUUCAAUCUCUUCAAUCUCUGGAAAUGUAUUUGUGACCGUAUGCUUAUAUGGAAAUACUAUACGUGUGGACCUGAGGGUUUUCGUAAAUUUGAAAGCCACUAUAAAAGGAUUGUACCUGACUACGACACAAUAUGGAAAAGACUUUUACAGAUCAUUCCUUUACUUAAUGACACAAUGAAGAAGUUUCAGUAAUUCUGCAUAAAAGA